GAUGAAGAACGCAGCGAAAUGCGAUAAGUAAUGUGAAUUGCAGAAUUCAGUGAAUCAUCGAAUCUUUGAACGCACAUUGCGCCCGCCAGUAUUCUGGCGGGCAUGCCUGUUCGAGCGUCAUUACAACCCUCAGGCCCCCGGGCCUGGCGUUGGGGAUCGGCGGAAGCCCCCUGUGGGCACACGCCGUCCCUCAAAUACAGUGGCGGUCCCGCCGCAGCUUCCAUUGCGUAGUAGCUAACACCUCGCAACUGGAGAGCGGCGCGGCCAUGCCGUAAAACACCCAACUUCUGAAUGUUGACCUCGAAUCAGGUAGGAAUAACCGCUGAACUUAAGCAUAUCAAUAAGCGGAGGA
rnacentral:misc_RNA from 1 species